GAUGAACGCUAGCGGCAGGCUUAACACAUGCAAGUCGAGGGGCAGCGGGGAGUAGCAAUACUCCGCCGGCGACCGGCGCACGGGUGCGUAACGCGUAUGCAACCUACCUUUAACAGGGGCAUAACACUGAGAAAUUGGUACUAAUUCCCCAUAACAUUCGAGAAGGCAUCUUCUUGGGUUAAAAACUCCGGUGGUUAAAGAUGGGCAUGCGUUGUAUUAGCUAGUUGGUGAGGUAACGGCUCACCAAGGCAACGAUACAUAGGGGGACUGAGAGGUUAACCCCCCACAUUGGUACUGAGACACGGACCAAACUCCUACGGGAGGCAGCAGUGAGGAAUAUUGGUCAAUGGACGCAAGUCUGAACCAGCCAUGCCGCGUGCAGGAAGACGGCUCUAUGAGUUGUAAACUGCUUUUGUACUAGGGUAAACGCUUCUACGUGUAGGAGCCUGAAAGUAUAGUACGAAUAAGGAUCGGCUAACUCCGUGCCAGCAGCCGCGGUAAUACGGAGGAUCCAAGCGUUAUCCGGAUUUAUUGGGUUUAAAGGGUGCGUAGGCGGUUUGAUAAGUUAGAGGUGAAAUACCGGGGCUCAACUCCGGAACUGCCUCUAAUACUGUUGAACUAGAGAGUAGUUGCGGUAGGCGGAAUGUAUGGUGUAGCGGUGAAAUGCUUAGAGAUCAUACAGAACACCGAUUGCGAAGGCAGCUUACCAAACUAUAUCUGACGUUGAGGCACGAAAGCGUGGGGAGCAAACAGGAUUAGAUACCCUGGUAGUCCACGCAGUAAACGAUGAUAACUCGUUGUCGGCGAUACACAGUCGGUGACUAAGCGAAAGCGAUAAGUUAUCCACCUGGGGAGUACGUUCGCAAGAAUGAAACUCAAAGGAAUUGACGGGGGCCCGCACAAGCGGAGGAACAUGUGGUUUAAUUCGAUGAUACGCGAGGAACCUUACCCGGGCUUGAAAGUUAGUGACGAUUCUGGAAACAGGAUUUCCCUUCGGGGCACGAAACUAGGUGCUGCAUGGUUGUCGUCAGCUCGUGCCGUGAGGUGUCGGGUUAAGUCCCAUAACGAGCGCAACCCCUACCGUUAGUUGCCAUCAGGUCAAGCUGGGCACUCUGGCGGGACUGCCGGUGUAAGCCGAGAGGAAGGUGGGGAUGACGUCAAAUCAGCACGGCCCUUACGUCCGGGGCUACACACGUGUUACAAUGGUAGGUACAGAGGGCCGCUACCCCGUGAGGGGAUGCCAAUCUCGAAAGCCUAUCUCGAGUUUCGAAUCGGAGGCUGAAACCCGCCUCCGUGAAAGUUUGGUAUUCGCUGAGAUCGCGCCCGGCCGUGGCGCGGUAAGACGUUUCCCGGGCC
rnacentral:rRNA from 1 species